UACGCAGGGGGCUAGCGUUGCUCGGAAUUACUGGGCGUAAAGGGCGCGUAGGCGGGAUGGCAAGUCGGUCGUGAAAUCCUUCGGCUCAACCGAAGAACGUCGAUCGAUACUGCUGUUCUUGAGGGUUGCAGAGGAGACUGGAAUUCCCGGUGUAGCGGUGAAAUGUGUAGAGAUCGGGAGGAACACCGGUGGCGAAGGCGGGUCUCUGGGCAAUUCCUGACGCUGAGGCGCGAAAGCGUGGGGAGCAAACGGG
rnacentral:rRNA from 1 species